UUUAAAAACCAUUUUAACUCAGUUUUCAAUGUGGACUUCUAGCUUUUUCCCAAAUGUUUAGAUGAAGUGUGCCUCGUCUCAAGUGAAGAACUUAACAGUAGCAGAGAUGACAAUCAUUUCAUUCUUCUACAGUUCCAGAACCAGAUUUCAGCUUGAGUCAGUUUUGUGAACAAGCAAUACCGGUCUCUCGAGUAACAGUGACUGUCUUGCCUAGUUCAAUUUGUAUCAUGUUACAGUUUCUUCUCAGCGUAAUAUGACUGGAAUGGAUAAUAACACCGGAGCAGUUUGUCUAAGCACAUGCUGGUCAUCUUGACCAGGACUCGGGCGUUUAAGGAGUGUUACAUAUGGAGAAAAUACAGGUGUGUUUCAAAAGCUGUAGAAUAUUCAAACUAAGGCAGUAUGCUUUGGGGCGGGAGGGGGGUUCCACACUAUUGUAAGAUCCUUGACUAUAUUUCAAUAUUCACAUUCAAUGUUUUGAACACAACUGAUCUUACUGCAGAAUGAAGACCUACAUGCAUAUGAAAUGGCCAAGUAUUUGCACUAACUGCAAGAAAAAAAAAGUGUCUUCAGGAGGACAGGGGCCUUCAAACUAGAAGAUGGGGUCUGCUAGCAGUCAAGCACAGAGCUUGGAGAAGACAACCACCAAGUCUCAGAUGGUCUGGAGCUACUCAGCAAUCUUCUCUACACUCAGAAGUACAUGAGUCCAUGCUACAAUUCAGGCAAGACCAGUUCCUGAUAAUUAUGGAAGUUACAUCUGCAAGAGACUAGUCCAUUCUACAUAAACCACAGAGAGACAAGAGCAUCUAAUCAAGACAUGCACCGGGAGGCAGACUUCCUGCAGGCUUCCAGAUCUGAAAAUGAAACCUACUCCGCUGACAGCUUCAGGUACGGGAAGAAUCGGGGGGAAAAAACGGAAGAAAAAGCCAGACGGACUUAAAGGGGCGGUAAAGAACUACUCAUUUUAAAGUAUCAA